UACGUAGGGGGCAAGCGUUGUCCGGAAUCAUUGGGCGUAAAGCGCGUGUAGGCGGCCCGAUAAGUCUGCUGUGAAAGUCCAGGGCUCAACCCUGGGAUGCCGGUGGAUACUGUCGAGCUCGAGUCCGGAAGAGGCGAGUGGAAUUCCUGGUGUAGCGGUGAAAUGCGCAGAUAUCAGGAGGAACACCUAUAGCGAAGGCAGCUUGCUGGGACGGUACUGACGCUAAGGCGCGAAAGCGUGGGGAGCGAACAGG
rnacentral:rRNA from 1 species